rnacentral:rRNA from 1 species
GACACCUUAAUCCAACAUCGAGGUCGCAAACCCUUCUUUCAAUGUGAACUCUCCAGAAAGAUUACGCUGUUAUCCCUGUGGUAACUUUUUCCGAUAAUCAACAAUGCUGGAUCACUUGUCAGUAAACCAAAAUUCUACAAAUUAACAGAGAAGCUUUUCAUGUUCCCUAGUCACCCCAACUAAAGAUGUAAGAAUAAAUUUAAAAUCCUCUAUUCUAAUAGAAACAACCCCUUUAUUCCACACUAAAGCUCAACAGGGUCUUCUCGUCCCUCAGCUAAAUCUAAGCCUUUUCACUUAGAAGUUAAUUUUUAAAUAUUCCAGAAGAGACAGCUCAGCCCUCGUCAAACCAUUCAUACCAGCCUCCAAUUAAAAGGCAAGUGAUUGUGCUACCUUUGCACGGUCAGUGUACCGCGGCCGUUU